AGUGAACGCUGGCGGCAGGCCUAAUACAUGCAAGUCGAACGGCAGCACAGUGGAGCUUGCUCCAUGGGUGGCGAGUGGCGGACGGGUGAGGAAUACAUGGGAAUCUGCCCAGUCGUGGGGGAUAACGUAGGGAAACUUACGCUAAUACCGCAUGCGCCCUUCGGGGGAAAGCCGGGGACCUUCGGGCCUGGCGCGAUUGGAUGAGCCCAUGUUCGAUUAGCUAGUUGGCGGGGUAAAGGCCCCCCAAGGCGACGAUCGAUAGCUGGUCUGAGAGGAUGAUCAGCCACACUGGGACUGAGACACGGCCCAGACUCCUACGGGAGGCAGCAGUAGGGAAUAUUGGACAAUGGGCGCAAGCCUGAUCCAGCCAUGCCGCGUGAGUGAAGAAGGCCCUCGGGUUGUAAAGCUCUUUUGUCCGGGAAGAAAAGCAUCGGGCUAAUACCUCGGUGUUCUGACGGUACCGGAAGAAUAAGCACCGGCUAACUUCGUG
rnacentral:rRNA from 1 species